rnacentral:rRNA from 1 species
GAUGAACGCUGGCGGCGUGCCUAAUACAUGCAAGUCGAGCGAACGGACGAGAAGCUUGCUUCUCUGAUGUUAGCGGCGGACGGGUGAGUAACACGUGGAUAACCUACCUAUAAGACUGGGAUAACUUCGGGAAACCGUAGCUAAUACCGGAUAAUAUUUUGAACCGCAUGGUUCAAAAGUGAAAGACGGUCUUGCUGUCACUUAUAGAUGGAUCCGCGCUGCAUUAGCUAGUUGGUAAGGUAACGGCGUACCAAGGCAACGAUGCAUAGCCGACCUGAGAGGGUGAUCGGCCACACUGGAACUGAGACACGGUCCAGACUCCUACGGGAGGCAGCAGUAGGGAAUCUUCCGCAAUGGGCGAAAGCCUGACGGAGCAACGCCGCGUGAGUGAUGAAGGUCUACGGAGCGUAAAACUCUGUUAUUAGGGAAGAACAUAUGUGUAAGUAACUGUGCACAUCUUGACGGUACCUAAUCAGAAAGCCACGGCUAACUUCGUG